UCUGCCGCGGCCGGGAAGUUCGAACAGAAGUCUGGGGAAGAGCCGGCGAAGAGCAAAGAGAUAAUACAGUACUCCCAGCUAUAGCAAGCGGCAGUUAUGGAGCAUGCGCAGCAGCAGGGGCGGCCGCAGGUCGCCGUUCAAUAAUACUCAAGGGAUUUGUACAGCCCUGUAGGAGACACCUCCAGAGAAAGUAACAGCUCUCAAUUGAUUAGCUGAGAAUAAACAGAUGCUUUUACAGCUCGCCUUGGCGGGAAGAUCUGGCACAAAUGAAGUAUCUAUAAGGAGCAGCAGAGUCAAGGAAGACACCAGACAAAUGAGUUACACUGUUUUGGACUCCCCAACACAACCCAGCCACCGGCUGAAUGCCACCAAAUUACCUUCUAGUUAAAGGUUUAUGGAGCAAACGAAUCACCUAUUCAAUAUCUGCUUGAAUUUCUGACUCAAAAUACAUCAGGUAUGUACUGUGUGACUUAAAUAUUGAGUUUAUUUUUAUCAAAUACCUGUCAAGAAAGAAAGUCAAUUCUGAAACAGCAGAAGCUCAAAGUUCUACAGAUGGCUUUCAAAGGAAUUUGAAUUAGACAUCAUUUGAUGUUGCAAAAAACAAUGACAUCUUUUAUAGCUCUAAACAUCAGUUUUUAAAUUAGAGAUUGAUCUAUAAAGGAGCUAAGUUUGCAUAAUCAUUAUUCAUUUUAAGAUAAUAAUAUAUGAUAGGUACUAAAUUAUAUAGUAGUUUUGUGUAGAGAUUUAUACAUAUUUUCUGAUUGCCAUCAUCACAUCAUCUAAUUAUUUAGAAAUUUCAUUUUCAGAACCUUGGAUUUUGGACAUAGAGCUUUGAAAAAUAUUGUACUUUAUUUUGAGAUGAAAAUGUGGUCAUUCACAUUUUCACAGACCUGCGUGGAGCAAUCUGCAGGGUGGGGGUGAGAUUUGGGAGUAGAGGGGAGGUGGUAAUAGACACACACAAAACUUGUU
rnacentral:lncRNA from 1 species